GAUGAACGCUAGCGGGAGGCCUAACACAUGCAAGCCGAGCGGUAUUGUUUCUUCGGAAAUGAGAGAGCGGCGUACGGGUGCGUAACACGUGUGCAACCUGCCUUUAUCUGGGGGAUAGCCUUUCGAAAGGAAGAUUAAUACUCCAUAAUAUAUUGAACGGCAUCGUUUAAUAUUGAAAGCUCCGGCGGAUAGAGAUGGGCACGCGCAAGAUUAGCUAGUUGGUGAGGUAACGGCUCACCAAGGGGAUGAUCUUUAGGGGGCCUGAGAGGGUGGUCCCCCACACUGGUACUGAGACACGGACCAGACUCCUACGGGAGGCAGCAGUGAGGAAUAUUGGUCAAUGGGUGCAAGCCUGAACCAGCCAUCCCGCGUGAAGGACGACUGCCCUAUGGGUUGUAAACUUCUUUUGUAUAGGGAUAAACCUACCCUCGUGAGGGUAGCUGAAGGUACUAUACGAAUAAGCACCGGCUAACUCCGUGCCAGCCGCCGCGGUAA
rnacentral:rRNA from 1 species